GCUGGUGACAUGGCUAUGUUCGCCAUUAAACGUUUAUUUCUUCUAUUGUGGUCAAGACUCCAUAAUCCGUCCUUGUUAUUGUGUCACACUGCCUAACGUUUCUAAUCCCACACAUUUCUUUAUUUUUUUUAUGGAGAAGUCUAUCGUCAUGUUUACUCUAUAGGUAUCCUAUUUUUCGCAAGCCACUGUUCUUUUGCUGCUACUAUCUGUUUUCUUAUUAGUCUUUGUAUUUCUUUAUAUUUAUUCCAGUCUCUGUUCUUGUGUUGUCGUCUCACAUUCAUUUCUAAUAUUUUAUUAGUUAUCCAUGGUUUCUUACCUCUUUGUUUUGUGUGUUUAAGGUAGGCUUCAGCUUUUAGAAACACAGUGUUAACCCAGUGUUCUUUUCCAUGAUAACUUUAUGAAACAUUUUUCAACAUUGCUUUCCACUCAUAAGUGCCUCAAGGAAGAUCGUAGCAAUGCGUGGAAAUUAAAAAAAAAAA
rnacentral:lncRNA from 1 species